rnacentral:rRNA from 1 species
GAUGAACGCUGGCGGCGUGCCUAAUACAUGCAAGUCGAGCGAACAGACGAGGAGCUUGCUCCUCUGACGUUAGCGGCGGACGGGUGAGUAACACGUGGAUAACCUGCCUAUAAGACUGGGAUAACUUCGGGAAACCGGAGCUAAUACCGGAUAAUAUAUUGAACCGCAUGGUUCAAUAGUGAAAGACGGUUUUGCUGUCACUUAUAGAUGGAUCCGCGCCGCAUUAGCUAGUUGGUAAGGUAACGGCUUACCAAGGCAACGAUGCGUAGCCGACCUGAGAGGGUGAUCGGCCACACUGGAAUUGAGACACGGUCCAGACUCCUACGGGAGGCAGCAGUAGGGAAUCUUCCGCAAUGGGCGAAAGCCUGACGGAGCAACGCCGCGUGAGUGAUGAAGGUCUUCGGAUCGUAAAACUCUGUUAUUAGGGAAGAACAAAUGUGUAAGUAACUAUGCACGUCUUGACGGUACCUAAUCAGAAAGCCACGGCUAACUACGUG